rfam:Asian citrus Psyllid, Diaphorina citri - Florida Strain, whole genome shotgun sequence.
GCUCCCAUGGCGUAGUGGUCACUGCGCUCGCCUUGCACGCGGGAGACCCGGGUUCGAUUCCCGGCGAGGUCA